rnacentral:misc_RNA from 1 species
GUGAAUCAUCGAAUCUUUGAACGCAAAUUGCACUCUCUUCGGAGAGUAUGCCUGUUUGAGGGUCAGCCUAAAAAAAAACCGACAUCGUUGUUGUUUCGCGGUGGCGUUCGUCGGAAAUUGGGCUAUUUUAAAUCUUUGGUUUAAGCGACUUAAAAUUUUCUCUACUAUUUUAUGUACGUUUUCAAGAUUUAUUUCUUUAUACGUUUAAGGUAUCGUUUUUUUUAGGUGUGGUUGUCAUUUCGG